AUACGGAGGGGACAAGCGUUAUUCGGAAUCACUGGGCGUAAAGGACGCGUAGGCGGGUUAUUAAGUCGGGUGUGAAAUCCAAUGGCUCAACCAUUGAACUGCAUUCGAAACUGAUAACCUAGAGUAUGGAAGGGGCAGGUGGAAUUAGUGGUGUAGGGGUAAAAUCCGUAGAUAUCACUAGGAAUACCGAAAGCGAAGGCGACCUGCUGGGACAUCACUGACGCUGAGGCGUGAAAGCGUGGGGAGCAAACAGGAUUAGAAACCCGGGUAGUCC
rnacentral:rRNA from 1 species